UGGGGAAUCUUCCGCAAUGGACGAAAGUCUGACGGAGCAACGCCGCGUGUAUGAUGAAGGUCUUCGGAUUGUAAAGUACUGUCAUUGGGGAAGAACGGUUUUCUUGAAAAGAUUGAGAAGACAUGACGGUACCCAAGGAGGAAGCCCCGGCUAACUACGUGCCAGCAGCCGCGGUAAUACGUAGGGGGCAAGCGUUGUCCGGAAAUUAUUGGGCGUAAAGGGCGCGUAGGCGGGCCUUUAAGUCCGGUGUGAAAGAUCAGGGCUCAACCCUGAGAGUGCAUCGGAAACUGGAGGCCUUGAGGACAGGAGAGGAAAGUGGAAUUCCACGUGUAGCGGUGAAAUGCGUAGAUAUGUGGAGGAACACCAGUGGCGAAGGCGACCUUCUGGACUGUAACUGACGCUGAGGCGCGAAAGCGUGGGGAGCAAACAGGAUUAGAUACCCUGGUAGUCCACGCCGUAAACGAUGAGUGCUAGGUGUAGAGGGUAUCGACCCCUUCUGUGCCGCAGUUAACACAAUAAAGCACUCCCGCCUGGGGAGUACGGCCGCAAGGUUG
rnacentral:rRNA from 1 species